AUUGAACGCUGGCGGCAGGCCUAACACAUGCAAGUCGAACGAGCGGCGGACGGGUGAGUAAUGUCUGGGAAACUGCCUGAUGGAGGGGGAUAACUACUGGAAACGGUAGCUAAUACCGCAUACCAUCGGAUGUGCCCAGAUGGGAUUAGCUUGUAGGUGGGGUAACGGCUCACCUAGGCGACGAUCCCUAGCUGGUCUGAGAGGAUGACCAGCCACACUGGAACUGAGACACGGUCCAGACUCCUACGGGAGGCAGCAGUGGGGAAUAUUGGACAAUGGGCGCAAGCCUGAUGCAGCCAUGCCGCGUGUAUGAAGAAGGCCUUGGGGUUGUAAAGCACUUUCAGCGGGGAGGCGUUACCAGCAGAAGAAGCACCGGCUAACUCCGUGCCAGCAGCCGCGGUAAUAC
rnacentral:rRNA from 1 species